AGAGUUUGAUCCUGGCUCAGGACGAACGCUGGCGGCGUGCUUAACACAUGCAAGUCGAACGGGAUCCAUGGAGUAGCAAUACUCCGGAAGAUCUAGUGGCGAACGGGUGAGUAACACGUGAGCAACCUGCCCUAAAGACUGGGAUAACCCCGGGAAACCGGAGCUAAUACCGGAUACCUUCAUCGGAUCGCAUGGUCUGAUGAAGAAAUGAAUUUUGCUUUAGGAGGGGCUCGCGGGAUAUCAGCUUGUUGGUGGGGUAACGGCCUACCAAGGCUUCGACGUCUAGCUGGUCUGAGAGGACGAUCAGCCACACUGGGACUGAGACACGGCCCAGACUCCUACGGGAGGCAGCAGUGGGGAAUCUUGCCCAAUGGGCGAAAGCCUGAGGCAGCAACGCCGCGUGUGGGAUGACGGCCCUCGGGUUGUAAACCACUUUCAGCAGGGACGAAAUUGACGGUACCUGCAGAAGAAGCUCCGGCCAACUACGUGCCAGCAGCCGCGGUAAUACGUAGGGAGCAAGCGUUGUCCGGAUUUAUUGGGCGUAAAGCGCGCGUAGGCGGUUCGGUAAGUCGGGUGUGAAAACUCCAAGCUCAACUUGGAGCCUGCAUUCGAAACUGCUGUGACUAGAGUCAGGUAGGGGAACACGGAAUUCCAGGUGUAGCGGUGAAAUGCUUAGAUAUCUGGAGGAACACCAGUGGCGAAGGCGGUGUUCUGGGCCUGUACUGACGCUGAUGCGCGAAAGCGUGGGGAGCGAACAGGAUUAGAUACCCUGGUAGUCC
rnacentral:rRNA from 1 species